AACGAACGCUGGCGGCAUGCCUAACACAUGCCAGUCGAACGAGACCUUCGGGUCUAGUUGCGCACGGGUGCGUAACGCGUGGGAAUCUGCCCUUGGGUUCGGAAUAACAGUUGGAAACGACUGCUAAUACCGGAUGAUGACGUAAGUCCAAAGAUUUAUCGCCCAAGGAUGAGCCCGCGUAGGAUUAGCUAGUUGGUGAGGUAAAGGCUCGCCAAGGCGACGAUCCUUAGCUGGUCUGAGAGGAUGAUCAGCUACACUGGGACUGAGACACGGCCCACACUGCUAGGGGGGAGAGCAGUGGGGAAUAUUAGACGAGGGACGAAAGCGUGAUCCAGCCAUGCCGAGGGUGUGGUGAAGGCCUUAGGGUUGUACAUCUCGUUUACCCGGGAUGUUAAUGACAGUACCGGGAGAAUAAGCUCCGGCUAACUCCGUG
rnacentral:rRNA from 1 species